rnacentral:rRNA from 1 species
GAUGAACGCUGGCGGCGUGCUUAACACAUGCAAGUCGAACGGAAAGGCCCUGCUUUUGUGGGGUGCUCGAGUGGCGAACGGGUGAGUAACACGUGAGUAACCUGCCCUUGACUUUGGGAUAACUUCAGGAAACUGGGGCUAAUAUCGGAUAGGAGCUCCUGCUGCAUGGUGGGGGUUGGAAAGUUUCGGCGGUUGGGGAUGGACUCGCGGCUUAUCAGCUUGUUGGUGGGGUAGUGGCUUACCAAGGCUUUGAAGGGUAGUCGGCCUGAGAGGGUGACCGGCGACAUGGGGACUGAGAUACGGCGCAGACACCUACGGAAAGCAGGAGUAGGGAGUAUUGCCGAAUGGGCGGAAGUGUGAUGCAGCAUCGCCGCGUGCGGGAUGACGACCUUCGGGUUGAAAACCGCUUUCGCCUGUAACGAAGCGUGAGUGACGGUAAUGGGUAAAGAAGCACCGGCUAACUACGUG